GUUGGGUUGGAAAGGUCCUGGAAGAUCACAGAUCCAUGGGAAGCGUUGGGUUGGAAAGGUCCUGGAAGAUCACAGAUCCAUGGGAAGCGUUGGGUUGGAAAGGUCCUGGAAGAUCUUAGGACCAUUGGCUUUUAACUGAACCUUUCUCUCUUUUGGAGGUGACGGCAGCGCCGCCCCACGGCACAGAGCCCCGUGGGUCGCUGUGGGGCCCACCGUGCUGUGGGAUGGGGAACAUCGGGGUCCUGCAGGUGGGGCUCCCCGACAUGUGGGGCGCCCCGACAUGUGGGGCGCCCGUGUGGGGCAGCUCUGUGUAUAUUUGAAUACAAAUAACAAACACCAACGUUGGGAGCCCAAAACUCCGCUCUGCUCCCUGCGUGGGGCUCCUCUGACCCACAUCAGCCCCAUGGCUGUGGGGUGGUGAGGGUGUAGGGCUGCCCCCACUGCCCUACAGUGCCCCAUAGCUCCCCCAAAACCUCUGGGGUACCCUACAUUGCCCCAUAGGUCCCCUAAAAGCCCUGGGGUGCCCUACAGUGCCCCAUAGAUCCUCCUAAAAGCUCUGGGGUGCCCUA
ensembl:lncRNA